UUUUGGACAAUGGGCGAAAGCCUGAUCCAGCAAUGCCGCGUGUGGGAAGAAGGCCUUCGGGUUGUAAACCACUUUUGUACGGAACGAAAAGGUCUGCCCUAAUACGGUGGGCCCAUGACGGUACCGUAAGAAUAAGCACCGGCUAACUACGUGCCAGCAGCCGCGGUAAUACGUAGGGUGCGAGCGUUAAUCGGAAUUACUGGGCGUAAAGCGUGCGCAGGCGGUUAUAUAAGACAGUUGUGAAAUCCCCGGGCUCAACCUGGGAAUUGCAUCUGUGACUGUAUAGCUAGAGUACGGUAGAGGGGGAUGGAAUUCCGCGUGUAGCAGUGAAAUGCGUAGAUAUGCGGAGGAACACCGAGGCGAAGGCAAUCCCCUGACCUGUACUGACGCUCAUGCACGAAA
rnacentral:rRNA from 1 species